GGUUAAUAGACCUGUGCGGGAUUGACUGCAGCAAAAAGGUGGUUUCGUACCCUUCUGCUACUGCUAGAAAAUGUUGUUUCCUCUUUGUUAUUCAUCAGUGUGAGUUGUUCCUCCCAGAGCAGUAAGGGCUGGGGAGGAAAUGGAGACUAGGGCAUCCUCAGGGCUGUCAGAAACAGAAUUUGCUCACCUUUCAGUGCUGUGUGUUUGUGGAAGGGAGCCGUGUCUUCAGCCAGCCCUCAGAGCCCGUGCACGAUACAGGCAAGAACUGAGAUAACUCGUUAUCAUCUGCUCCUUGGUGCUCGCUUUGCUUGUACCUCCCAGCACAACAGCAAAAGCUAAACCUCAAAAUAAGCAGCUGUACGGAUAGUUUGUUUUUGUGCUUUUUCCCUCUGGGCAUCCUCAGGGAUCCCUUUUCCUCCACUGCUUCUGAAACCUGUAUCUGCGGGGCGUUUAGCAUUGCUCACGGUGCAGUUGCUUCCUGGGGCUGUGCGCAGCCAAGCCCUGUGGCUCAGCUCCUCGCCUGGCACCUGCUGCAGGCCACCAGCAUUUGGCCCUACAGAGCAGGUCCUGCACGUGAGACCCAUGUUUUCGCAGCACCUGACUGCAUGUGCCAGAGCCGGUGGGACAAAUAUUUAGUUUAUUUGGCUAGUGAUGUUUGAAGUGAUGUAAUUAUGGCACACCGGUUCUGCAUGUGGAUUCGCAGCUCAGCAGAUCCAUGCACAUCACCUGCCCUUCAUCUGGGAGAGAAGAGGGGCGAGCCACGGCCACUUCGGCAGCUGGAGAUAACAGCCUCACCAGAGCUCACUCCUGAUGGGGAAACACAUCUCUUCCCCGCUCACCUUCUGUCUCAAAUGCUUGAGGCUGUUGCCAUUUUGAGCUUUUCUAAACCCUUUCUGCAGCAACGACGAAACUCAGAUGAAGAAAGUUUUUCAGCUUUGGAGAGUUACGGUGUUUCAGUUGCCCUUUUCAGAAGUGAGAUUGCCAAAGGUAAAGAAAGGAAGAAAUGACAGAAAAAAAGCAUCACUGGUUCUAUUUCAUUCAGCAAAAAGUUCAUUUUAUUUAGCUUUUUUAAGCUCUGCUAUGGAAUUUUCCAGUGUGGGGGGAAAAAAGAAGUGUCUUAAAGCUGAUAUCCUAAAAAUUGAGCAUUUGCUGCUGUGAAAGACUUAUAACUGAGAGAAUUCAGUCUUCCCCUGCACCAGCAUUUGGAUGAUUAACAGGGAAACAGUUCCAAUAAUUCUAUGGAUAACGCUAAGAUCAGGCAGAAUUUGGCUUAUUGCUAUGCUGCUUCUGGAAAUUAUUAUACCCUAUUCAUAUUCAUUAGAUGGCAUGAGUGUAGUUUGCGAUCAAAGGUUAUUAAGAAUCAGAAAACAAGCAGGAGAUUGGGAUUCUCAUUUUCCAGAGAUCGUUUUGAGCUAUCACA
rnacentral:lncRNA from 1 species